rnacentral:lncRNA from 1 species
AGACAUGCACUUUGUUUUCAGGGGGCAUCUGGGAGGGGGCUUGCUGGGCGCGCGGCGGCGGCUGAGGAUGGAAGAAGGAGGGUCCGAGCGCUCAGGGGCAUGGCGGCCAAUCCCCCGGAUCCCCAUUAGUUCUGCUUCUUGCUCUCUCCUUAGCUAGUUUUGUCUAGUUUAGGUGGAGGGCCUCCUGGUGAGGCCUCUAACUUUUGUUAGGGGUUCUUCCCUUAAUGCACGC